rnacentral:lncRNA from 1 species
UUUUUUUACUUUAAAAAAUAUUACAUUUCAAGUAAUAAGUUUAAAAAUGUUUUCGGCUGAUCUUUUUCAUUUUAAAUUAUUUAUUGAAGUUGGGGUCAUUGUAUGUGGCGAUCUAUUUUUUACAGUCUAUGCUCGCUAUCCCAAGGUUCAUUGCGAUCCCAAGCUUCACUGCGGUUUUCCACAAGCCUGUUUCUGCCUAUCACCAUGAGUGAUUCCUUUAUACUCAGAUUUAUCAUCAAGAUCUCAAUUAUAAGCUUAAGUCUUGAUGACAAUUUGAUGAUCUGCAGGAGCACCACCAUGUAAGGAAGGCCAAGACCUCUCUGGAAUCAGUCAAGGGUGAAAUGGAGUGAGGCAUACAAGGAUAUGUGUGGUUUUAGUCUUGGGAAGGAGGUUGAACAGUGCAAUAUUUCUUCUAUAGGAUUGCAGUGACCAGACAUGCUAUUGUAACUCUCAUGGUCAUGUGCUGGAAUUAGCAGAUAUUCAACAAUUUGGCCAUCUCGCCGACCUAUUGAUAUCAGAAGACCGCAGCAGCUCUGCAAAGCAAGUUGCAAAACAGAAUCCAUGAAACUGGUAGUGACUGGAAACCAAUUGGAAGACUUUGGUCU